GGUUCGAUGGUGUAGUUGGUUAUCACGUCCGUCUCACAGGUAGCCUGAACCCUCGUGCACGGGAGGUCUCCGGUUCGAACCCGGGUCGAACCA